GACGUAGGGCGCGAGCGUUGUCCGGAUUUAUUGGGCGUAAAGAGCUCGUAGGCGGCUUGUCGCGUCGUCCGUGAAAACCUGGGGCUCAACUCCAGGCUUGCGUUGAUACGGGCAGGCUAGAUGGUUCGUGAGGGAGAGUGAAUUCCUGGUGUAGCGGUGAAAUGCGCAGAUAUCAGGAGGAACACCGGUGGCGAAGGCGGGUCUCUGGGCCGAUACUGACGCUGAGGAGCGAAAGCGUGGGGAGCGAACAGGAUUAGAACCGUACC
rnacentral:rRNA from 1 species